UAUGAUUUAUGUCAAUAAUAUGUUGAGAAACGACGUUCAAAUUCGAUUGUUUUAUUUCUUUUAUGUUCAUAAAUUCUUGUAUUAAGUUUGCAUUUAGUUUGUCCCACAUAUUAUUACUAUAAGAUCUAUCGCACAAUGCCACAGGUAAUAGGCAAUAAGAACAGGAAAUAACGUGAAAGAAAAGACAAGAAAUAUCUCUUCUCUCUUUCUUUCCUACGUUAUUUAAUUCUGUUCUUAUUAUUUGUUGUCUGUAGCAUUGUGCAAUAUAUAGAUCAUAUAAUUAUACCUUCCUACCCAACAAUAUAUUAUGUAUAACUGUUUUAUGUUCAAGAAUUUCGUCUUGGUGGGAGGAAUGAACAUAUUGUAAUGGUUUAAAGAGAGUGAACGCUAGUAUUUGGAAUAGUACAUAUUUGUUGGCAUCUCGUAUGUACAAAGAAAAAUCCGGUUAUAAAAUGUUAAAUUACCUUGGUUGUUCUGAAAAUUCUAGCAUUAUCGUUAAAUAUUUGUGGUCUGUAAUACCGGAAUUUAAAAAGAACAUAUUGAGAGAGAAUGAUUAUAAGACACUUACACAGAAAAAUAAAGAUAAAAUUGAUACUUUAAUUACUAAUAUGUUUCUUUCUACUCUUGCAAGACAUGCUAAGAACACUUUAGUAAGAAAUACUAGCGUCUUUUAAAAUAUAUUACAAAGACAGUUUAAUCAGGAUGACAAAGAUAUUCAACGUGCUUAUUAAUAAUAUUUAUACUGCUAAACCAUUUACCGAGAUACGUGAAUUUGCGAAAGAACAUGUGCCAUCCUUAAUAUUAUAAAUAUAUUGAGAAAAAGUUAGAGACCCGUUAUUAUAAACAGAUUGACCAAUUAAAGUUUUAUAUCGAUUUGUUUAAAUAAGAGUUGAAACCAGAAGGUCAAUGUAUCUACUUGAAUUGAUACGGAUGCAAUAAUAUGUAGUAUAAUGUAUAUCAACAAGUACAACAAUAAAGCACAAAUUUUUAUUAAACAC